rnacentral:lncRNA from 1 species
UUAUAGUGACACUUCAUCAGUUUAAGAUCAUCUUUUCUAUGAUUGUGUGUGUUUCAGCAGUGUGUUUCUGAAGAGGACAGAGUAACAGCAGAACGAGAAACUCCACGUGAGCCGACAGCUGUAACAGGAGACUGUGCCGCUCAGAUCUGAUCGUUCCCUAAUUCAGAAACUCGGCCGUUAGUGAAGCGAGAGCCGCCGAAGUGCAUUGUGGGAGUGUAAAGGCCGC